AACGGCGAGUGAAGCGGGAAGAGCUCAUUCUGUGAAUCUGUAUGCUCUUUUGGUAUACCGAGUUGUAGAAUAUAGAAGCACAUCAGUGCGAAUUCCGGUCUAAGUCUCUUGGAAAAGAGCAGCUAAGAGGGUGAGACUCCCGUUCUUGGCUGGAAUUCAAACUUUAGCAUGUGGUUUCGACGAGUCGAGUUGCUUGGGAUUGCAGCUCAAAGUUGGUGGUAAAUUCCAUCUAAAGCUAAAUAUCGGUGGGAGACCGAUAGCGUACAAGUACCGUGAGGGAAAGAUGCAAAGAACUUUGAAAAAAGAGUUAAAGAGUACCUGAAAUUGCUGAAAUGGAAGCGAAGGAAACCAGUGCCGUUCUGUAUCAUUCUUCCGUCCUUGCUUGCGAGGGUGGCGCUGUGAUGCAGGAUAGGCCAGCGUGGGUUUGGGCCGAAGGAAGCAGCUCUUCAGGAGGCAGCGCAAUUUCUGUGCGAUUACUGUUGAGCUUUGCUUCGGCUUGGACUGAGGCUAGUCACUUGUGCUCGUGACGCUGGCGAAAUGGUUUUCUUUACCCCGUCUUGAAACACGGACCAAGGAGUCUAACAUAUGUGCGAGUAUAUGAGUGACAAACUCACAUGCGAAAUGAAAGUAACAGUGGUUGGACCUUCUGGGCACAAUCCGCCGGCCACAAUCCUUCGGGAGAAAGGUCUGAGUGUGAGCAUACAUGUUGGGACCCGAAAGAUGGUGAACUAUGCCUGAAUAGGGUGAAGC
rnacentral:rRNA from 1 species